GAUGAACGCUGGCGGCGUGCCUAAUACAUGCAAGUCGAGCGAACAGACGAGGAGCUUGCUCCUCUGACGUUAGCGGCGGACGGGUGAGUAACACGUGGAUAACCUACCUAUAAGACUGGGAUAACUUCGGGAAACCGGAGCUAAUACCGGAUAACAUGUUGAACCGCAUGGUUCAACAGUGAAAGACGGUCUUGCUGUCACUUAUAGAUGGAUCCGCGCCGCAUUAGCUAGUUGGUAAGGUAACGGCUUACCAAGGCAACGAUGCGUAGCCGACCUGAGAGGGUGAUCGGCCACACUGGAACUGAGACACGGUCCAGACUCCUACGGGAGGCAGCAGUAGGGAAUCUUCCGCAAUGGGCGAAAGCCUGACGGAGCAACGCCGCGUGAGUGAAGAAGGUCUUCGGAUCGUAAAACUCUGUUAUUAGGGAAGAACAAAUGUGUAAGUAUCUAUGCACGUCUUGACGGUACCUAAUCAGAAAGCCACGGCUAACUACGUG
rnacentral:rRNA from 1 species